UGGGGAAUAUUGGACAAUGGGCGAAAGCCUGAUCCAGCCAUGCCGCGUGUGUGAAGAAGGUCUUCGGAUUGUAAAGCACUUUAAGUUGGGAGGAAGGGCAGUAAGCGAAUACCUUGCUGUUUUGACGUUACCGACAGAAUAAGCACCGGCUAACUCUGUGCCAGCAGCCGCGGUAAUACAGAGGGUGCAAGCGUUAAUCGGAAUUACUGGGCGUAAAGCGCGCGUAGGUGGUUCGUUAAGUUGAAUGUGAAAGCCACGGGCUCAACCUGGGAACGGCAUCCAAAACUGGCGAGCUAGAGUAGGGCAGAGGGUGGUGGAAUUUCCUGUGUAGCGGUGAAAUGCGUAGAUAUAGGAAGGAACACCAGUGGCGAAGGCGACCACCUGGGCUCAUACUGACACUGAGGUGCGAAAGCGUGGGGAGCAAACAGG
rnacentral:rRNA from 1 species